rnacentral:rRNA from 1 species
AAGAGACAGAACCAGUACCGUGAGGGAAAGGUGAAAAGAACCGCGGGAGCGGAGUGAAAGAGAACCUGAAACCGUAUGCCUACAAGAAGUCAGAGCCCGUUAAAGGGUGAUGGCGUGCCUUUUGUAGAAUGAACCGGCGAGUUGCGUUAUCGUGCGAGGUUAAGCAGAAGAUGCGGAGCCGAAGCGAAAGCGAGUCUUAAUAGGGCGACAGUACGAUGACGCAGACCCGAAACCGUGUGAUCUAGCCAUGACCAGGUUGAAGUUCAGGUGAAACUGAAUGGAGGACCGAACCGACCCCCGUUGAAAAGUUGGCGGAUGAGUUGUGGCUAGGGGAGAAAUUCCAAUCGAACACGGAUAUAGCUGGUUCUCCCCGAAAUAGCUUUAGGGCUAGCGUCGAGGAUGAGUCUUGUGGAGGUAGAGCACUGAAUGUACGAUGGCCCCAUCCCGGGGUACUGAGUAUAAUCAAACUCCGAAUGCCAUGAUAAUAUACUCGGCAGUCAGACUGUGGGUGAUAAGGUCCAUGGUCAAAAGGGAAACAGCCCAGACCGCCAGUUAAGGUCCCAAAAUGUAUGCUAAGUGGAAAAGGAUGUGGGGAUGCACAGACAACUAGGAGGUUGGCUCAGAAGCAGCCAUCCUUCAAAGAGUGCGUAACAGCUCACUAGUCGAGUGACCCUGCGCCGAAAAUGUACCGGGGCUAAGCAUACUACCGAAGCUGCGGAUUUGUAGUAAUACAAGUGGUAGGGGAGCGUUCCAUGCACGUGGAAGCCAUACCGAAAGGAGUGGUGGAGAGCAUGGAAGUGAGAAUGCCGGUGUGAGUAGCGAGAUGCAGGUGAGAAUCCUGCACACCGAAAGCCCAAGGAUUCCAGGGGAAGGUUCGUCCGCCCUGGGUAAGUCGGGACCUAACGCGAGGCCGAAAGGCGUAGUGGAUGGAAAACAGGCAGAUAUUCCUGUACCCGCGAUGGAAAUGAAGGAAUGACGGAGAAGGCUAGCAUGAGCCACUUAUUGGAUUGUGGUCGAAGCGAAUAGCAGGUGCAUAGUAAAAUGCGUGCACGGAAUGUAAAACGUGAUAGGUAAGCGAAACCUUUGGGGAGUAGCGAAGCAUGCGAGGCCAGCUUCCAGGAAAAGUUUCUAGUGAUGAUUCCAUAGCGGCCCGUACCAAAACCGACACAGGUGGGCAAGGAGAGAAUCCUGAGGUGAGCGAGAGAACUGUUGCCAAGGAACUCGGCAAAAUGACUCCGUAAGUUAGCGAUAAGGAGUGCUUAUGUAAAAGUAAGCCGCAGUGAAGAGGCCCAAGCGACUGUUUAACUAAAACACAGCUCUCUGCGAAGUCGCAAGACGAAGUAUAGGGGGUGACGCCUGCCCGGUGCUGGAAGGUUAAGAGGAUUUGUCAGUUUCGACGAAGCAAUGAAUUGAAGCCCCAGUGAACGGCGGCCGUAACUAUAACGGUCCUAAGGUAGCGACAUUCCUUGUCAGGUAAGUUCUGACCCGCAUGAAAGGCG